UACGUAGGUGGCAAGCGUUGUCCGGAAUUAUUGGGCGUAAAGGGCUCGCAGGCGGUUUCUUAAGUCUGAUGUGAAAGCCCACGGCUCAACCGUGGAGGGUCAUUGGAAACUGGGAGACUUGAGUGCAGAAGAGGAGAGUGGAAUUCCACGUGUAGCGGUGAAAUGCGUAGAGAUGUGGAGGAACACCAGUGGCGAAGGCGACUCUCUGGUCUGUAACUGACGCUGAGGGACGAAAGCGUGGGUAGCAAACCGG
rnacentral:misc_RNA from 1 species